rnacentral:rRNA from 1 species
GAUGAACGCUGGCGGCGUGCCUAAUACAUGCAAGUCGAGCGAACAGACGAGGAGCUUGCUCCUCUGACGUUAGCGGCGGACGGGUGAGUAACACGUGGAUAACCUACCUAUAAGACUGGGAUAACUUCGGGAAACCGGAGCUAAUACCGGAUAAUAUAUUGAACCGCAUGGUUCAAUAGUGAAAGACGGUUUUGCUGUCACUUAUAGAUGGAUCCGCGCCGCAUUAGCUAGUUGGUAAGGUAACGGCUUACCAAGGCAACGAUGCGUAGCCGACCUGAGAGGGUGGUCGCCCACACUGGAACUGAGACACGGUCCAGACUCCUACGGGGGGAAGCAGUAGGGAAUCUUACGGGAUGGGGGAAAGCCUGACGGAACAACGCCGCGUGAGUGAUGAAGGUCUUCGGAUCGUAAAGCUCUGUUAUUAGGGAAGAACAAAUGUGUAAGUAACUGUGCAGGUCUUGACGGUACCUGAACAGGAAGCCACGGCUAACUACGUG